rnacentral:pre_miRNA from 1 species
AGCAGCUGAGUGAUUUAAAAGCAAUCAAAUUCUUACAGCUUUAAAUCAUGCAGCUGUUGA